UACAGAGGGUGCGAGCGUUGUCCGGAAUCACUGGGCGUAAAGGGCGCGUAGGCGGCUUGAUAAGUAGGGGGUGAAAUCUCAUGGCUCAACUGUGAGGCUGCCUUCUAGACUGUCUGGCUUGAGCACAGUAGAGGCGAGUGGAAUUCCCGGUGUAGCGGUGGAAUGCGUAGAGAUCGGGAAGAACAUCGGUGGCGAAGGCGGCUCGCUGGGCUGUUGCUGACGCUGAUGCGCGAAAGCGUGGGGAGCAAACAGG
rnacentral:rRNA from 1 species